GUUUCGAGUAUAAAUGGUAGGUUGUUCUCCCUGUUUUUAAAGCACCUGAAAACGACGAACCUGACGCACUUUUGGUUCUUCCUGAUCCUCAGAAACGUUCAAAAUUCUCCCCCCACGUCAACCCAGUUCAAAUCCAAUUCGAUUCACCAACCCCCCAAAGCCCUAAUUCCCAAUUUGUGAGCCAUCGCAAAUUAGGAAAGGUCGAAAUGACUUUGACCCACACGCAUUUAUACUCUCUGCGUCCGUCACUGUCUUUGUUUCUUGGCUUCAAUGGCUGCCAAAGCUUCGUGCUUUUUCUGCAAGGCCGAGAGUGAUCAGUUCGUUAAUGGCUGGGAGCUCAAGGAUGGGUCUUUCGCCCAGCUCUGCAAGAAAUGCGGUUUUUGGUAAAUGGUAACUGACUUAAUCCUUUGCAAAUUUAGUUUUGCUUAUGUGAAUGGUAUAUUUUGUGAAACUUUUCACAUGGAAGUGGAAGGCUAGAGAGACUGUGCUGUUUGUGGGAAGCCACUCCAUUGUGGGUGCAUUAUGUCACGCCACAAGUAUGCACCACUGGAUUUUGGAGGUGUAGGUUGCUCAAAAUGCUUACUAGAAAUUGAUCAAUCUAUUCCUUCAGGUCGAAUGACCAGAAUGCUGAAAGAAAUAGGACAGUGAUGUAUGGUGAAUUGUUUAUAUAGUGUAUAUGCCUUUUGAGAUUUUGUAUGUGUGGGUGCCUGCUGUAGUUGUCCAGUCUAUGCUUUUUGUGGGUAUUCCUUCGUUGGAAAAUAGUGUGCUUGGAUGCUUGAGGGCCAACAUUCAUAUCUGCCCAUAGCUGAUGCUCAUGUGCGGCUAUAUAAAAUAACUGAGCUACUUUUGAUUUGGAAGUCUCACUGC
rnacentral:lncRNA from 1 species